rnacentral:rRNA from 1 species
UACGUAGGUGACGAGCGUUAAUCGGAAUUAUUGGGCGUAAAGCGUGCGCAGGCGGUUUUGUAAGCCAGAUGUGAAAUCCCCGGGCUUAACCUGGGAAUGGCAUUUGGGACUGCAAGGCUCGAGUGCGGCAGAGGAGACUGGAAUUCCUGGUGUAGCAGUGAAAUGCGUAGAUAUCAGGAGGAACACCGAUGGCGAAGGCAGGUCUCUGGGCUGACACUGACGCUCAUGCACGAAAGCGUGGGGAGCAAACAGG